AGCAGAGCCCUGACCUGCAGAUCCAACGCGGCAGGUUUGGGUUGGUGGCUGAAUGCCUUCGUGUUAGGAACGGAUGCUUUGCAACCCAAAGCAGUUGGUAUUGCUUUGUGAUCCGUGUUGGAUGCCCAUCCCUGUGCUCCCAGCGCCCGUGCUGCCCGCGUGCUUUUAGAUGCUGAAGUCUGGCCGAAGGGCUUCAUCAAGAGCGAUUUUUCCUUGUCUGCUUGCUGUUGUGGUAAAUAAUCAAGGAGAUAACAGUACUGAAGAAUUUAGCUUAAGGAGUCUAAUUCGAUGCUUUGGGACUUUUCGCACCUGGGAUUAUGCAUGGGAAAAGAAGGAAAACCCCACGGUGCUGCCCCUCUGCGACACUCCCAGCAGCCUUCAUCCUGCUUUCCUGACCCAGAGCUUGAGGUGCAGCGUGGUUCCAUGUGAGCUGGCUUUUAAAUGGGGGAUGUCAUCACAUCACUGCCACGUGCUUUCCCUGGCUGGCUGUUGCUGCCCCAUAAUGUGAUGCUGGGGCACCAGCAAAGCCCCCCAGCAUGAAGUGGGACACAGCAGGGGCUGCUUCCUGCACUGUUUGUUUUGGUUGCUGAGUGAUGACAAGCGAGCAAACAAGAUCUGCGUUUCACAUCUGCUCCCGAGACUCUUCUUACUCUCUAGCCACCUCCCUCCUCAUAAAGCUGCACAUCGGUUUUGAGAUGCCUGACAAGAGACC